rnacentral:rRNA from 1 species
GAUGAACGCUAGCGGCAGGCUUAAUACAUGCAAGUUGAGGGGCAGCAUGAUAUACGCGAGUAUAUUGAUGGCGACCGGCGGACGGGUGAGUAAUAGGUAGGAGACCUACCUCAUACAGGGGGAUAGCAUAGAGAAAUCUGUGGUAAUACCCCAUGAGGUUAUAUGAAUAGAGGCAUAUAAUCAAAGCAUAAGCGAUUAUGCGGUAUGAGAGGGGCCUACUGACCAUUAGCUAGUUGGUGAGGUAAGGGCUCACCAAGGCGAAGAUGGUUAGGGGUUUUGAGAGAGAGAUCCCCCACAUUGGAACUGAGAUACGGUCCAGACUCCUACGGGAGGCAGCAGUAGGGAAUAUUGGGCAAUGGGCGAAAGCCUGACCCAGCGACGCCGCGUGGAGGGAGAAGUCCUUCGGGGCGUAAACUCCUGGACUGGGGGACGAGGAAGGACGGUACCCCAGUAGAAAGGGACGGCGUAACUACGUGCCAGCAGCCGGGUAAUGCUACGU